UAAGAAUAUUGAAAUAUGGAAAAUGAAAAAGUUAAUCAAAGCCCUUGAAUCUGCAAGAGGAAAUGGUACCAGUAUGAUUUCUCUUAUUAUUCCUCCUGGUGAUCAGAUAUCUAGGAUUACCAAGAUGUUGGCGGAAGAAUAUGGUACUGCAUCAAAUAUUAAGAGCAGAGUGAAUCGUCAGUCUGUCCUUGGUGCAAUUACGUCUGCCCAGCAGAGGCUUAAACUGUAUAAUAAGGUACCUCCGAAUGGUUUGGUCCUUUAUACUGGAACUAUAAUGACUGAAGAUGGGAAGGAAAAGAAG
rnacentral:misc_RNA from 1 species